GACUGGUUCGCUCAGCUGGUAGAGCACUUCACUGAAAGCUAAGAGGUGCCUGGUUUCAAACCAGAACCAGGCG
rnacentral:tRNA from 1 species